AACACUGUUAACCUGCGGUACCUGCGGAGGGAUCAUUAAUGUGAUGGAUGUGCUAGUCUUGACUUCUCAAUCCUCCUUUCAAUACUUAUUGCUAGGUGGGGGCUUAACAGCUCGAGAGGAAAGGAAACAAAAGCCCGUUUGGGUGUGCACUCCAAUACUAUCCAAUUUUAUUUUAACCUUGUGCAUUUUUGCCUACAGAGCAAACAAAGAGCAUCAAAAUGAUGCUUUUGAUUGUGUAUG
rnacentral:misc_RNA from 1 species